rnacentral:rRNA from 1 species
UACGUAGGGUGCGAGCGUUGUCCGGAAUUACUGGGCGUAAAGAGUUCGUAGGCGGUGUGUCGCGUCGGCCGUGAAAACCUGCAGCUUAACUGUGGGCUUGCGGUCGAUACGGGCAUCACUGGAGUUCGGCAGGGGAGACUGGAAUUCCUGGUGUAGCGGUGAAAUGCGCAGAUAUCAGGAGGAACACCAGUGGCUAAGGCGGGUCUCUGGGCCGAUACUGACGCUGAGGAGCGAAAGCGUGGGGAGCGAACAGG